UACGUAGGGUGCGAGCGUUGUCCGGAAUUAUUGGGCGUAAAGGGCUCGUAGGCGGUCUGUCACGUCGAAAGUGAAAACUCAGGGCUUAACCCUGAGCCUGCUUCCGAUACGGGCAGACUAGAGGUAUGCAGGGGAGAACGGAAUUCCUGGUGUAGCGGUGAAAUGCGCAGAUAUCAGGAGGAACACCGGUGGCGAAGGCGGUUCUCUGGGCAGUAACUGACGCUGAGGAGCGAAAGCGUGGGGAGCGAACAGG
rnacentral:rRNA from 1 species